CGGGAGAUCGGCGAUGGACGAGCCUGUCGCCAACCCGGUCAGGUCCGGAAGGAAGCAGCCGUAACGAUUUCCGGUUCGGGUCGUUGUCCGGUCUCCCACCCU
rnacentral:SRP_RNA from 1 species